rnacentral:RNase_P_RNA from 1 species
UAGGGCGGAGGGAAGCUCAUCAGUGGGGCUACGAGCUGAGUGCGCUUAGUCACUCUAUCCGAUGUCCCUUGGGAAGGUCUGAGACUAGGGCCACGGGCGGCCCUAACAGGGCCCUCCCUGAGAUUCGGGGAGGUGAGUUCCCAGAGAACGGGGCUCCGCGCGAGGGCAGACUGGGCAGGAGAUGCUAUGGACCCCGCCCUUGCGGAGGGGCCUGGCGGAUGCCUCCUUAGCCGGAGCUUGGAACAGACUCACGGCCAGCGAAGUGAGUUCAAUGGCUGAGGUGAGGUACCCCACCCCGCGUGGGGGUCUCAUAACCCAAUUCAAACUACUCUCC